AGUAACUGCGAGUGAAGAGGGAAGAGCUCAUCAUUGGAAUCUGGCGGUGUCUUGCACCGUCCGAGUUGUAGAUGAGAUGAGUAGGCCAUCUGGACUGCAUGAUAUCCAAGUACAAUAGGCCGUCAGUGGGACAUCAUAGAGGGUGACAAUCCCGUCUUUGAUAUCAAUGUACGAGUCCUAUACGAUGCCUAUCUCUACAGAGUCGAGUAGUUUGGGAUUUGCUGCUCUAAUGUGGGAGGUAGAUUCCUUCUAAAGCUAAAUAUUGGCAAGAGACCGAUAGAGAACAAGUACCGCAAGGGAAAGAUGAAAUAGAACUCUGUAAAGGGAGUCAAAAGUCGUGAAAUUGUUGCGAGAGAAGCGAUUCAAGUCAGCUUAGCUAGGCCCAUCAAGCUACCAUACUUUGGACUAGCUUUGCCAGCAGUCUUAUCCUUUAGCGGUUUGACUCCUCCCAGGUUUUCAUCCUGUGUGCUGGUGGAAUGGCUUGCAAUCGACCCGUCUUGAAACACGGACCAAGGAGUCUAACAUGUAUGCGAGUAUAAGGGUGACAAACCCGUAUGCGCAAUGAAAGUAACUUUCGGUGAUUGCUGAAUGACCUGACGACCAUGCA
rnacentral:rRNA from 1 species